GGACUACUGGGGUUUCUAAUCCUGUUCGCUCCCCACGCUUUCGCUCCUCAGCGUCAGUAAUGGCCCAGAGAUCCGCCUUCGCCACCGGUGUUCCUCCUGAUAUCUGCGCAUUUCACCGCUACACCAGGAAUUCCGAUCUCCCCUACCACACUCUAGCUAGCCCGUAUCGACUGCAGACCCGAGGUUAAGCCUCGGGCUUUCACAAUCGACGUGACAAGCCGCCUACGAGCUCUUUACGCCCAAUAAUUCCGGACAACGCUUGCGCCCUACGUAUUACCGCGGCUGCUGGCAC
rnacentral:rRNA from 1 species